GAUGAACGCUAGCGGGAGGCUUAACACAUGCAAGUCGAGCGGGAUCCACCUUCGGGUGGUGAGAGCGGCGCACGGGUGCGUAACGCGUAUGCAACCUACCUUGUACAGGGGGAUAGCCCAUGGAAACGUGGAUUAAUACCCCAUAGUAUUGUGAGAUCGCAUGGUUUUACAAUUAAAAUUACGGUGGUACAAGAUGGGCAUGCGUAGGAUUAGCUAGUAGGUGAGGUAACGGCUCACCUAGGCAACGAUCCUUAGGGGUUCUGAGAGGAUUAUCCCCCACCACUGGUACUGAGACACGGACCAGACUCCUACGGGAGGCAGCAGUGAGGAAUAUUGGUCAAUGGGCGCGAGCCUGAACCAGCCAUCCCGCGUGCAGGAUGACGGCCCUAUGGGUUGUAAACUGCUUUUCUAUGCCAAGAAACCUUCCUACGUGUAGGAAGUUGCCGGUAGCAUAGGAAUAAGCAUCGGGCUAACUCCGUG
rnacentral:rRNA from 1 species